AACAUAAGAGAGCACAUACCAUGCAGACUCCUCAGCCGUUCACAAAAAGAGGAGAAAAAAAACUAUAUUUGAAAGAGAUUAAAAGUUGAUAUCAUUUUGCAGAGGAUUUCUGUUUUCUCAUUUUUUUUUAACUGCAGCUGCCUUCUCAUCCUGCUUGUAGGUCCUCCCUCACACACCAACAGAAAGGAUUUCCUAGCAACGAUUAUAAUGCGCGCGCACGCACGCACACACACGCACGCACGCACACACACACACACACACACACACACACACACACACACACACACACACACACACACACACACACACAGGCUGAACGCGCUGGGGCUCCCUCCAGCUAUCAGCGUGGGUUUCCCCCUCCUUCUCCCUCCUCCUCCUUUUUUCUUCUCCCUCGCCGCCGCUCCGCCGUUGAGGGAAGGAAGGGAAGGAGGGAGAGAAAGAGAGAGAGGCAGAGGGUGAGAGAGAGAGAGCUCCCCUCUUCACAACUCUCCCCUGGAAGCCUCAGCUGCUGGCUAGACUGCGCGGUUACACGGGCAGCCUGCCUGCCUGCGCAACGGAAUGGCGGCGGUGUGCAGACGGUUCGUUUUGCGCCAGAGCGGUCACGAACGAACAGAGACGGAAAGAGAGUCUGCGAGUGCACGACGAGGCUCGAUUUGCCGGUGAAAGUCGCGGAAGAAACGGGAAACUGCUCCGUGUUUUUGAAGAGAGAGAGAGAGAGACAGAGAGAGGGAGAGGGAAGAAGAAGAAGGGGGAUGGGGGGAGCUUGGAAAGCCACGAAUGCCGGAGAAGUGCGCUUUUAUUCGGUGCGUAAUGACACGACGCGUCUCUCCGGUGGUUGUACCGACGUGCUGUUGACGAGAAGAAGAGGAGGGUGAAGGUGGGGGGGGUAGGGGGUUCAACAUAUGAGGCUGAUGCCGCCGAAUACCGGGGACGGUUUCAUAUCCAGAUACUACAACCGACACGGGAGCAGAGGCUACAGCCCCAUUGCGCGCAACACGGCGCACAUGGCACGCCCCCUCGCCUCCCUCCCGCUCCACACUGACAGGGAGGCGUUUGCUGGGGCGCCAUUUUCAAAAGCCUUCUUUGCAUAUGAGAUGUGUUUUUGCUGCAGGAGGGCUGCAGCCCGUCCUGCCUUCUCAUGUUACACAGUCUGUCUGCCUGAGAAGAGCAUGGACUGAGGAAAACAAGAAAUCUGGACGGAACCUCUAACGCGCCAUCUAUUCUUUUUAAAUAUAUAUAUAUAAUUUUGUUGCAAAGAACAAGAUUUACACAAUAACCUUCAGCGAAUUUGACACCAGAAGCAAAGCAGUGUUUCAUUUCCCAAACAGCAUGAUUUCAUCGUAUUUUUUCCACACUAAAAUAUUUAAUUUGAGGGAAUUCUCUUUUAGCUUCUUGUUGUCUGAUCUGAUGUUGCAUCUAUUUAUUAAAGUGUACAGGCUUGAGAAAAAUCUAAAAUUACAGGCUGGCUGCAGGAGCAGGCCUGCUUUACAUAAUUACAUACAAUGGACUAGUCUGCUCACUUUGAAGAACACGCUUUUAGUUCUACUAAUCAUCACAGCGUGUACCACAGCAGCUCAUUAAAAUGCAAACAUAUUAUCCUUAUUAUCUUAUUCGCAGUUUUGGUCAUUCCAUUUGAAUAUUUUUGACAAAAGCCAGCGUUCCGUUCUCCUCUCUGCGUUCAUUUGUUCCACCGUCAACACACCAGGAUACUUGGGAGUUUGGUUGAAUAACGUGAUGUUGUAAACAGCUCUAAGUGCGCGUCUGUGCUGAGGUGCGUUUGGCUGAGAUCCAGUGAGAAAUGCAUGCGUUUUGUUUUCUGUUUUUUUGUGUGGUUUUUUUGCAUGCUGGAGUGAGUGAGAAAUUUCAGUGUUGGUGAAGUUAAUUCAAAGUGACUGCAGCAGGACGGGCAGCUCUCGUGUGGCAGCACGAUGAGGCGAUAAUAGCAAUAACAACAAUUACAAGACAGACUCACAGGCCAAAAAUACUGUCGUCGGACAAACACGGAGUAUUAAUGUUACAGCAGGCAGACAGCAGGAAGGCUGCAUUCUUUACAUGCAGGUGUGUGUUAGACGAUGGAAGCUGCUACAGAGUCCCCAAUAUUAACAACAAUAAAUUAAUGUCAAAUAAAAAAAUUAUGUACUAAAAUAUAAGUAGAAUUUAAGAUACGUUUUUACCUAAAUAGUUUAACCAUUAAAAUAAAGAAGUGUACUGUUUAUGUACUUUGAAUUGAGUGACUUUUUUGAAUUUUUAAAAUGCAAUAAAAUAAAACAGUCAUAUAAAUUAAUUAAAUGUGUUUCUUCAUUAUUAAAUUAAUUUAGGGAAUAAUGCUCUAGAGAAACCUCAAACAUACAAGUAAAUAAUUACAUUGCUAAUAAUUUUAAUAGAUUCUUUUCAGUCACCUUCUAGUUUGUGUUGAAAUAAAGCUACAUAUUCAUUUUAUUAGCAUACAUAUUUGAGACUGCUGCUUAUAUUACUGCGUGCUGUUGUUUUUUUUUUUUGCAUUUUUUCUUGUUUUUACGUGAAAAGUGCCUGCUUAUGAAACAUUCUCGCAAUAUCGCUGUUUAUUCCAAAAAGCAUUCCUAACUUCAUUAAAGCUCACUUUUACAAAAAGCG